GCUUGUCUCAAAGAUUAAGCCAUGCAUGUCUAAGUAUAAACAACUUUGUACUGUGAAACUGCGAAUGGCUCAUUAUAUCAGUUAUAGUCUACUCGAUAGUACCUUACUACUUGGAUAACCGUAGUAAUUCUAGAGCUAAUACAUGCGUAAAUACCCAACUGCUUGUCGGACGGGUAGCAUUUAUUAGAUUGAAACCAAUGCAGCUUCGGCUGGUAUUGUGUUGAGUCAUAAUAACUGUGCGGAUCGCAUAGGCUUGCCUGGCGAUGGAUCUUUCAAGUUUCUGACCUAUCAGCUAUCGACGGUAGGGUAUUGGCCUACCGUGGCUAUGACGGGUAACGGAGAAUCAGGGUUCGAUUCCGGAGAGGGAGCCUGAGAAACGGCUACCACAUCUAAGGAAGGCAGCAGG
rnacentral:rRNA from 1 species